GGGAAGCUGGCUCAGUGGUAGAGCGCUUGCCUUGAAUGCUUGAGGCCCUGGGUUCGAUUCCUCAGCACCACA
rfam:Dipodomys ordii contig_76439, whole genome shotgun sequence.